AGUUUGGGGAAGGCCCUUUCCUGUCCCAGCAUGACUGCGCCCUAUAAAGACAAGUUAACACCGUCGAACAAUGUUGGUGUCACGGAAGCCUCUGUGCCAUGGGCUCCUGGAGGGGACUGAGUACCAGAGACUCUAAAGACUGCAUUUUGGGAGGGGGUUUAUGUGUGGUGUUACUCAGAGACCUCUUGUGUACCUGGAUCUGAUAACUAGCAGGCUUCAGUCAGAAGUCAGGGAGAUGCCUGUGUUUACCAUCCUGCCCACAGACUACAAUAGCGACCCCCUACUGGGCUGAGGCGGACGGAGUGCAAAUACCGAGCCGUGUGCAAAGGAGGACCUGAUGGGGAACUUUCUGUGGCUUGUUGUGUCUAUUGCAUGUAAAUUACCCCUUGUACUGUUUAAAUACCCCUGUGUUUCCAAAUAAAUUGAGUUCCUGUUGUCACCUCAA